AGUGAACGCUGGCGGUAGGCCUAACACAUGCAAGUCGAACGGCAGCACAGUAAGAGCUUGCUCUUACGGGUGGCGAGUGGCGGACGGGUGAGGAAUACAUCGGAAUCUACUUUUUCGUGGGGGAUAACGUAGGGAAACUUACGCUAAUACCGCAUACGACCUACGGGUGAAAGCAGGGGAGCUUCGGACCUUGCGCGAAUGAAUGAGCCGAUGUCGGAUUAGCUAGUUGGCGGGGUAAAGGCCCACCAAGGCGACGAUCCGUAGCUGGUCUGAGAGGAUGAUCAGCCACACUGGAACUGAGACACGGUCCAGACUCCUACGGGAGGCAGCAGUGGGGAAUAUUGGACAAUGGGCGCAAGCCUGAUCCAGCCAUACCGCGUGGGUGAAGAAGGCCUUCGGGUUGUAAAGCCCUUUUGUUGGGAAAGAAGAGCAGCAGGUUAAUACCCCGCUGUUCUGACGGUACCCAAAGAAUAAGCACCGGCUAACUUCGUG
rnacentral:rRNA from 1 species